GCGUGGGUGUUCGCCUCAAACGCAUUAGCCACGCAGCUACCCGGUGCAGCUCGUGUUCGUGGCCAUCCAACACAAAUGUCCCUUACGUCGACUCGCAAAUACGCAGCGCCUUGGAAAUUACUGAUCGCACCUCGUCAUCAGCACCUGCGGCUGACCGAGCAGACGGGAGGUGCCAGUGGGCAUGCGCAGCGCGCUUCGACGGCGCCGCGACUGCAAGCGAAGAUGGUGCCCGAGUAACCGACGAGACACUCCCCCUUUAGCGUCGGCGUAAAAGGCAUCAUUCCAGCAGUCAAAAGUGAACCAAGUAUUUUCCUCAUCCCAGUAAAUUUAUGCACAAAGCAUUACUCCUGGCGUAGACUGAGGGGCCACCAAGGGACACCCCCCCCCCCCAAGCCGAGAGAAUAAUGACAGUGACGACGGCCACCACCAUGGACUCCUUCUUCUGUCCUCACCUCUGUGUCCAUGGAAUCCUCCCCCAGCCUGAAGCAUCUCAAGGGGGGGGGGGGCCUUCCAAGUGCCGGUCUCCAUGGCGUUGUGCUUUGCCACCCCCUCCCCCACCCCCUCUGUCCUGAUAUAUGUGCACAAGUCAUCGUACCAUAACCAGCAUGGGACUCUGCUUAAGAAACUGCAGAGGAACAUGUGUGUCCAGACCUGAGCACAAAGUGUUGAGCGUAUGUGUUCUUCACUCUCCUCAGUCACUCCCAAAGCACACAGGCUGAGUGCCGGGUGCAAGUUAGGGUGCCUGGGCUAAGGCCUGAUUCACGUAGGCAAAUUCUGCUCGGGAUUGACCUCGUCUGCACAAAUCAGUAUUGCAUCAUACAUAUCAUGAAAGAAUUGUCAUUGCCAUUUUAGUGUAUCCACUUAGGUUGGUAAUAAAAUUGAUGUCACACAAGAGUAAUGAUGGAAUAUUUUAACACUAACAUUUGACUACUUAACAGAAGUUUAAUCGGAGUCAUCUGGCACGCAUUACAGGCUACUUUUACAUAUGUAAUAAAAAGGACUGUUUUCUCUGUGUUCCUUUGCUGCCGGGUCUGGUCGUUCCACCUUCGUCUUAAGCGUUGCCCUCAGUCCAAGCUGCGAUUGGAACGAUGCCAGAUCAGCGCCUCAUAAUGGAGACGGGCCCCUCCAAUAGCGUCACGCACACGUACGCUUGCAUAUCCAUGGCUCUCCUUUUAUAGCAAUGGGAGCUGUUGACUGAUUGCU